GUCUUCUUCUGGUUGCUUUUGCAGGAGAGAGCGAGUCACAGAACAGAUGCUGCAAGAGAAAUCCAUGAAAUGAAAUGAAAACUUGUUUUGAUCUUUAGGGUUUGCUGCUGCUGCUAGAAGGAAUGUCAUGAUAUAGCAAACCCCAGCUUUAGCUGCAUUUGAUUUUGAUGGCACUUCGGUCAGUUUCCUGUACUGAUAUUCUCCAUUUAGCACAAAUCAAAGCCAAGCAAACACUCAGUUCCGUGAACUGAGAGGUGCAGUGGCAGGCCACUGCUUAGAUUCAAACACUGAGAGGUGCAUAGAUAUGUGCUAAAUGAAAAAUGUCUGUCGCCGGAGUAGCUUUGGGAUCUAUACUAUAUUAUUCGGCUGCAACUAUUGGAUCACAGCUGAGGGGUUGCUGCUGCUGCUGGAAAGGAAGCCGUGAUAUAGCAAACCCAAGCUCUAGCUACUUUCAGAUUUUGAAAAGGCACGUCGGUCAUGUUUGUGUGCUGAUGUUCUCCAUUAAGCACAAGGCAAAGCCAAGCCGCCACUCAGUUCCGUGAACUGAGAGGUGCACUGCUCAGUUCCGUGAAUUGAGCAGUGCAAAGGCAGGCCAUGACUUAGUUCCGUGAGCUAAGAGGAGCACUGCUCAGUUCUGUGAACUGAGAGGUGCAACGGCAGGCCACCAGAUAGUUCCGAUUACUAGAGGUGCAAAGCUAUGUGCUUAAUGGGGAACAUCUCACUCUCCAGAGCAGCUUCGGGAUAUAAACUAUAUGGUUCAGCUGAAACUAUCGCAAAACAGCUAAGUGUGCUUCUCCUUUUUUUUUUUUUUUUUUUUUAUUCUCCUUAUUUAUUGGAAACAUUAUUGGAAGUUUGGUUCAUAGCAAGGCAGCGAUACUUCCUAAUCCCUAUGUGGUUCAGCUACAACUACUGUAACACAGUUAAGUGAGCUUCUAUCUCUCUCUCUAUCUAUUUUGUUUUGUGUUUUUUUCUUCUUAUUAUUGGAAAACUAUAGGAACACAGCAAGUUUCAUUGUUUCACAUCUAAAGGUAGAUACUCUUAACUUCAAUUCUAUGUUUACUAUAUGUUGUAUAAAUUUCCUACUUACUUGAGUGUCGGAGUACCUUUUUUGUUUUUUGCAGGUCUCUCCUUCUCAAGCCUAGACAUUUUCAAUUUGGAGGGUUGUCGAAAUAGAAUGCUGGUGAGGUCCUGUGAACUGGAGGCUGGGGAGACAAAAUGCAAAGGCAGUCAUGUAACUUAUAUGAACUGAAGGCUACAAAGGUGGAUGGAAAAAACAGUCUGGUAAAAUUUCAGCUGAUGAGAUUCCAGCAAGUACAAAUAUUUAUUUCAAGGAUCCUCUCUGUGCAGCUUGUGUGUCCCCAAAUAUUACAAAGGUUUAGAGAAAUAGUACCUGUGACAAAAUAUCCUAGCUUCUACCCCAAAUUCAAGAAAUGGUACUUUAAUAAAGAUCCUCUGUGCGCCCCUUAAUAUCAGCAGCAACAUAUUACAUAUUACAAAGUUUUAUAGACAAUCGUUCUUUACAUCUAUCUUGAGUGAUGUGGUUGCACUCAUGUCAGUCAGACAAAGCUUGUCGAAAUGAAGUACCGUUUUUAAGGACUAUAUAUAGUGAACCUCCUGAAUUUUCUUGUACAAGUAUAUAAACCUGCAGGAGUUUCUUCAACCCCUUGUUGCAACAAAUUUCCAAGUACUUGAGGAAGCUAAACAAUAACGUAUUUUUCUCUUUGGCACUAAUUAAAAUGGGACGAGUUUUCUUUUCUGGUA